rnacentral:rRNA from 1 species
AUGACGGCGGCCGUGCUGGCUGUCUUACAAAUGGUGGCAUCGCCGAUCCUGAAGAAGCUCCUCGCUCAUGCUUCGACGUGCCUAGGGGUCGACAUGGUGAGUGAGCUCCAUGAACUGGAGACCACCAUCAUGCCACAGUUCGAGCUGAUGAUUGAAGCAGCUGACAAGGGCAACCACCGGACUAAGCUGGACAAAUGGACCCAAGACCUCAAACAAGCCUUCUUCAAGGCCGAAGACUUGCUGGAUGAUCACGAGUACAACCUCCUUGAGCGCAAAGCAAAGAGCGGGAAGGAUCCAUUGCCACCACAUUCCUCCACCAGCAGCACUAUUCUGAAACCUCUGCAUGCUGCGUCCAACCGGUUGUCCAAUCUGCGCUCCAAUAACAGGAAGCUAAUUCGCCAGCUGAAUGAACUGAAGGCCAUUCUGGCGAAAGGCAAGGAGUUCCAUGAUCUUCUUUGCUUACCAGCUAGUAAUGCUGCAGAUGGCCUUGCUGUAAAAGCAUCCGUUGUUCCUCAGGUCACAUCAAUUCCACCUCCAAAAGUAAUAGGUCGUGACAAGGAUCGGGACAAUAUAAUAGACCUUCUUACAAAGCCGGUUGGUGUUGAGGCUAAUUCAGCUAUACAUUCGGGUUUGGCUAUUGUUGGAGCAGGAGGCAUGGGAAAAUCCACAUUGGCACAACAUGUUUACAAUGAUGAGAGGGUAAAAGAACAUUUUGAUGUCAGGAUGUGGGUGUGCAUCUCACGCAGACUUGAUGUUGAACGUCAUACACGGGAGAUUAUUGAGUCUGUGGUGGAGGGCGAAUGCCCACGUGUUGGUAAUCUUGAUCCUCUCCAGUGCAAAUUAAGGGGCUUAAUGCAAAACAAGAAAUUCCUGCUUGUACUGGAUGAUGUUUGGUUUGAAGAAUCUGGCAAUGAGAUGGAAUGGGAGCAACUCCUGCGUCCAUUAGUUUCUGAGCAGACUGGAAGCAAAGUUUUGGUGACUUCUCGAUCGAAUAUACUUCCUGCUUCUCUUUACUGUAACAAGAUUGUUCCUUUGGAAAACAUGGGAGAUGCCGAGUUCUUGGCACUCUUCAAAAACCAUGCCUUUUCUGGAGCAGAAAUCGGAGAUCAUAAUUUGCGACAGAAGCUAGAAGAGAUUGCAGAGAAGCUUGCGGACAGACUGGGACAAUCUCCUUUAGCUGCAAAAACAGUGGGUUUACAGCUGAGCAGGAGAAAGGAUGCCACUUCAUGGAAGGAUGCUCUGAAGAUCGACAACUUAAGUGAUCCCGCGAAAGCUCUGUCGUGGAGUUAUGAUAAGUUAGAUCCACGUCUGCAGAGAUGCUUUCUGUAUUGCAGCUUGUAUCCAAAAGGCUAUCGCUAUACUAUCAGGGAGUUGGUUCACCUAUGGAUAGCAGAGGGAUUUAUUGAUUGGUGCAACGAGAACAAAAGAGUGGAAGAUAUUGGAAGGGAUUGCUUCAGUGAGAUGGUCUCAGUUUCAUUCUUUCAACCAGUUUAUGAGAGAUGUGAUACAUACUAUGUUAUGCACGAUCUUAUUCAUGAUUUGGCACAGUCACUCUCUAAAGAACACUGCUUCAGAUUAGAGGAUGAUAAGGUGGAAGAAAUACCACACACUGUUCGACACUUAUCUGUUUGUGUUGAGAGUAUGAUACAGCAUAAGCAAAGCAUUUGCAAGCUACCACAUUUGCGUACUAUUAUCUGCAUUAACCCGGUUAUAGAUGUUAUAAGUGAUGUUUUUAAUCAGAUACUGCGGAAUUCGAAGUUGCGUGUACUAUAUUUGUCAGCCUACAACAGUAGCAAGUUGCCAGAAUCAAUUGAUGAGCUGAAGCAUAUUAGGUAUUUAAACAUCAUCGACACAUCAAUUACUGAAUUGCCAAGAUCAUUAUGUACUCUUUACCACUUACAGUUCCUUAAGUUCAGUAACAGAGUUGAGAGUUUGCCCGACAAACUCUGCAAUUUAAAUAAGCUGUGGUAUCUUGAAGGCCACGGGAGAUGGGUAGGUCAUCCAUACAACAGUACUCUGCCUCAAGUUCCCAACAUAGGCAAGCUAACUUUGCUCCAGCAACUUUAUAACUUUUCUGUGGAAAAGCAGAAGGGAUAUGAGUUGCGGCAGCUGAGGGACAUGAACGAGCUUGGUGGCUGUUUAAAUGUUACAAAUCUUGAAAAUGUCACUGCAAAGGAUGAAGCUUUAGAGUCCAACCUACACCAGAAAACUCAUCUUGAAAGUUUGCACCUUGGCUGGAGUUAUAUGGAUGACAUAAAUGUAGAGGACAGUUUACACUUGGAGAUUUUGGAAGGCCUGAUGCCACCGCCCCGACUUAAGGGCCUCACAAUCAAAGGUUACAGAUCGGCGAAAUAUCCAAGUUGGCUUCUUCAGGAUUCAUAUUUUGAGAAUCUGGAAACUUUUGAGCUUGUUAAUUGCACUGCAUUAGAAGGCCUACCAACCAAUGCAGAACUUUUUGGGAAUUGCUGCUCACUUCACCUCGAGAAUGUGCCAAACCUAAAGACAUUACCUUGUCUUCCAGCAGGUCUUAAAAUGUUAUCAAUUACCAAGUGUCCACUGCUUAUGUUUGUUUGCAGUGAUGAACCAGAGCAGCAUGAUCAGUGGGAGAACAUCAUCAAUAGAGAGCAAUUGGUAUCAAACCUUUCUUUGAUAUCGAGUGAUGGUUCAGUAUCAAAAACAAGUGACAUAAUAGCAUUGGAAUUUUCAUCUCUGGAGCUGUUGAUGGCAUCAAUUGAUGCAGAUAUGUCACGUGUUGAAAACAUUAGAAGUGUUGUAGAAAGAGAGGAAUUUGUGAUAGAGGAUAGCAUCAAAGCAUGGAUAUGUUGCCACAAGGAGAGGAUGAAACUCAUUUAUGGAAGAAGCAUCGGGCUGCCUCUGGUUCCACCAUCACAACUUACCCAACUUGAUCUUUCUUCAUGCAGUAUUACAGAUGGGGCUUUAGCUGUUUGCCUUAAUGGUCUCACUUCACUGAGAAGUUUGUGCUUAACUGAGAUCAUGACUUUGACUACACUUCCGCCGCAAGAGGACUUCCAACAUUUGGUAAUGCUUGGUGACCUGCAAAUCAAGUCUUGCUGGUGUCUCAGAUCAUUGGGGGGCUUACGAGCUGCUACCUGUCUUUCAUGGGUUCAAUUGGAAUCCUGCCCUUCUCUAGACUUGGCACGUGGAGCAGAUGAAAUGCCAUUAUCUCUUGCGGUGCUCAUCAUAUCCUGGUGCAUGGUUGGAGCUAAUUUCUCCAGUAGUGGUCUUCCGCACCUGACAGACCUUCACAUGGUUGGCUGCGGAAGCCUUGCAUCCUUGUCAAUCGGUCAUCUGACCUCCCUUACAACAUUACAACUAGAAGAUCUCCCGGAUCUGUGCUUUAUUGAAGGACUGUCUUCCCUGCAACUUCACAGCUUAGAGUUGAAAGAUGUCCCGAAGCUCAACGCGAAGUGCAUCUCACAGUUUCAGGUGCAGAAAUCACUCGAUGUUAGCAGCCCUGAGAUACUCAACCACAUGCUCUCGGCUAGAGGUUUUAUAGUUCCAGAAAUCACUCUUAGUAAUUGCAAGGAGUCAUCCGUUUCAUUCGAAGAAUCUGCAAAUUUCUCAUCCCUGCGGGACCUGAUGUUAUAUAGAUGUGAAAUGGCGUCCUUGCCAGGAAAUCUCAAGUGCCUGACCAGUCUGACACGACUUGAUAUCAUCGACUGUCCCAACAUAUCAUCUUUACCUGAUCUGCCAUCCUCCCUCCAACAUAUAUGUGUUCGGCGCUGUGAGCGCUUGAAGGAGAGCUGCCAAGCACCUGAUGGAGAAAGUUGGCCAAAGAUUGCGAGUAUCCACUACAAGGAACUAUGA